AGAGUUUGAUCCUGGCUCAGAUUGAACGCUGGCGGCAGGCCUAACACAUGCAAGUCGAGCGGUAGCACAGAGAGCUUGCUCUCGGGUGACGAGCGGCGGACGGGUGAGUAAUGUCUGGGAAACUGCCUGAUGGAGGGGGAUAACUACUGGAAACGGUAGCUAAUACCGCAUAAUGUCGCAAGACCAAAGUGGGGGACCUUCGGGCCUCAUGCCAUCAGAUGUGCCCAGAUGGGAUUAGCUAGUAGGUGGGGUAACGGCUCACCUAGGCGACGAUCCCUAGCUGGUCUGAGAGGAUGACCAGCCACACUGGAACUGAGACACGGUCCAGACUCCUACGGGAGGCAGCAGUGGGGAAUAUUGCACAAUGGGCGCAAGCCUGAUGCAGCCAUGCCGCGUGUGUGAAGAAGGCCUUCGGGUUGUAAAGCACUUUCAGCGGGGAGGAAGGCGGUGAGGUUAAUAACCUCAUCGAUUGACGUUACCCGCAGAAGAAGCACCGGCUAACUCCGUGCCAGCAGCCGCGGUAAUACGGAGGGUGCAAGCGUUAAUCGGAAUUACUGGGCGUAAAGCGCACGCAGGCGGUCUGUCAAGUCGGAUGUGAAAUCCCCGGGCUCAACCUGGGAACUGCAUUCGAAACUGGCAGGCUAGAGUCUUGUAGAGGGGGGUAGAAUUCCAGGUGUAGCGGUGAAAUGCGUAGAGAUCUGGAGGAAUACCGGUGGCGAAGGCGGCCCCCUGGACAAAGACUGACGCUCAGGUGCGAAAGCGUGGGGAGCAAACAGGAUUAGAUACCCUGGUAGUCCACGCCGUAAACGAUGUCGAUUUGGAGGUUGUGCCCUUGAGGCGUGGCUUCCGGAGCUAACGCGUUAAAUCGACCGCCUGGGGAGUACGGCCGCAAGGUUAAAACUCAAAUGAAUUGACGGGGGCCCGCACAAGCGGUGGAGCAUGUGGUUUAAUUCGAUGCAACGCGAAGAACCUUACCUGGUCUUGACAUCCACAGAACUUAGCAGAGAUGCUUUGGUGCCUUCGGGAACUGUGAGACAGGUGCUGCAUGGCUGUCGUCAGCUCGUGUUGUGAAAUGUUGGGUUAAGUCCCGCAACGAGCGCAACCCUUAUCCUUUGUUGCCAGCGGUCCGGCCGGGAACUCAAAGGAGACUGCCAGUGAUAAACUGGAGGAAGGUGGGGAUGACGUCAAGUCAUCAUGGCCCUUACGACCAGGGCUACACACGUGCUACAAUGGCAUAUACAAAGAGAAGCGACCUCGCGAGAGCAAGCGGACCUCAUAAAGUAUGUCGUAGUCCGGAUUGGAGUCUGCAACUCGACUCCAUGAAGUCGGAAUCGCUAGUAAUCGUAGAUCAGAAUGCUACGGUGAAUACGUUCCCGGGCCUUGUACUCACCGCCCGUCA
rnacentral:rRNA from 1 species